GACGAACGCUGGCGGCGUGCUUAACACAUGCAAGUCGAACGGGAUUUAGUAGACAGAAGCUUCGGUGGAAGAUUACUAAUGAGAGUGGCGAACGGGUGAGUAACGCGUGAGCAACCUGCCUAUGACAGUGGGAUAGCCUCGGGAAACCGGGAUUAAUACCGCAUAAAAUCGUAGAAACACAUGUUUUAACGGUCAAAGAUUUAUCGGUCAUAGAUGGGCUCGCGUCUGAUUAGCUAGUUGGUGAGAUAACAGCCCACCAAGGCGACGAUCCAUAGCCGACCUGAGAGGGUGACCGGCCACAUUGGGACUGAGACACGGCCCAAACUCCUACGGGAGGCAGCAGUGGGGAAUAUUGCACAAUGGGCGAAAGCCUGAUGCAGCGACGCCGCGUGAGCGAAGAAGUAUUUCGGUAUGUAAAGCUCUAUCAGCAGGGAAGAUAAUGACGGUACCUGACUAAGAAGCACCGGCUAAAUACGUGCCAGCCGCCGCGGUAA
rnacentral:rRNA from 2 species